rnacentral:rRNA from 1 species
GACGAACCGUGCGAACGUUAUUCGGAAUCACUGGGCUUAAAGGGUGCGUAGGCUGCGAGGAGGGUGGGGGUGUGAAAUCCCUCGGCUUAACCGAGGAAUUGCGCUCCAAACCGCCUUGCUGGAGUGAGACAGAGGUGAGCGGAACUAAUGGUGGAGCGGUGAAAUGCGUUGAUAUCAUUAGGAACACCAGAGGCGAAAGGCGGCUCACUGGGUCUCAACUGACGCUGAUGCACGAAAGCUAGGGUAGCGAACGGGG